CACAAAACUUUAUAGUAUUCUUUCAUCAUUCCCAAAUAAGAAAGGAUUUGUGGUUUUGUUUUAGCUGAUGUGUUUUUGUAUUUUCAAGGCUCAGCAUCAGAAUCGAGCAACAGAAGGAACUGAAGAGUACUUCCUGGCAUUUUUCUGGUGUGCUGGAAACUGUGACUGAUGCCAACAUGCAAUAAACUACAUCUACAGACAGAAAUGUUGAGAAGAUCAGCACCGUAACCACAAAACAUGGCAACAGCAAAGAGAAAGAGUACUAGCCUUCACUUGGCUUGCCCUCCUGGUGCAGAUUAGACCAAGAAGAUGAGUGGCAGUGGGCAGUUUACCAGCAAUCAUUACUGCUCACUGAAAAUACCCCCAACAACACAUCUCCCUCUGUCAACUGUGGUGUAGCAGGUCUGCUCAGUAACACUUACUGAAGGCAUCACUUUAACAGAAAUCUGUGUUGGAUCCCAUGACAAAGCCAUCCUUCAACUACAAACAAGCAAACAAACAAAUGACUCCAAAAUGCCUGGCCAUGUGAUUCCAUCUUGAGAGAACUGAUUUUCUACAUCUCAUCUGAAUGGAAGUACAAUUUCAACCUAGUUCCUCUUUCUUUAUUUGUGUCAGAAGCACCACAGUACAAUUAAGAAAUAGAUCAGAUAAUUUUCAUUCAACAACAGGCAACAUCAUUUGGGGCAGCUAACAUCAAACCUUCCACAGUGCAUAUCGAGGGGCAUAAGAACAUUGCCACAGCUGCGAACCAUCCUGUUCCUCUACACUUUUGUAAAGGACCACAUCAGUGAAAAAACUUGUUUUCUUAGGUUCAGUUUGGUUCUGUGAACUCCACUGCAUUGUCUACUGUCAAGCAAUCCAGUUUUUGGUGUGACUGGGGCCUAGACUUUCCUGGGCAUCCAUUUUAAGAGGUGGGAAAGUUCUUGGUGCUGACAUUCUCUGUUGUUUCUUCAAGAUUCACAGAUGUUCUGAAAAAACUUUUCCAUGAUUUUAAUCUGGGAGGGAUUCAAUGGUAGCCAAAGGACAGAUGCACAUUUGAUUUAAGUCUCUUUUAGAGAUAUGAGUGAGAAGUAAUGUGCUAAACCUUGAAGAAGGGCAAAGACUUAGUGAUUCAUGGCUUCCUAUAAUUGACCUCAUUAGGACAGCAGUAAGUUGAUUAUGCUAUGCUGUGUGAUGCAAUCACAUUGAGUGUAUAUUGCCGUAUGCAAUGCGCUUAGU
rnacentral:lncRNA from 1 species